rfam:Schistosoma rodhaini strain Burundi genome assembly, scaffold: SROB_scaffold0000195
GCACUACUGAGGAGUCCCAAAAUAGAACGAAACGGACGUCCAAUAC